rnacentral:rRNA from 1 species
UACGUAGGGGCCGAGCGUUGUCCGGAGUUAUUGGGCGUAAAGCGCGCGCAGGCGGCUUCGCGCGCCCGACGUGAAAGCCCCCGGCUUAACCGGGGAGAGUCGUUGGGGACGGCGGAGCUUGAGGGCGGGAGAGGUCGGUGGAAUUCCCGGUGUAGUGGUGAAAUGCGCAGAGAUCGGGAGGAAUACCGGUGGCGAAGGCGGCUAUCUGGCCAUGUACUGACACUGAAGCACGAAAGCGUGGGGAGCAAACAGG